rnacentral:misc_RNA from 1 species
AUCCUCCACCGCGGCCCAACCGUCUUCCAGCUUUGUCAAAUGCAAGUCCAGGUAAAAUUAACAAAUCAACAGGCUCAUUAGCGAACAAGACAUCCUCGCGUUCAUUCCCCUCAGCAUCUAAUGGAGCUGGUUCCAGAAUGUUCAUUGAAUUUGCAAUCAAAUCCUCAGUGCUUGAAAUGUUAAGCAUUCGCAUGUUUCUGUUCCUAUCCUCCACUCUUGGAACAAAUAGCUUCUUUCGCAUCUCUGAAUGGCUACUGAGAAUAUGAGAUAGUAUUCGGCUUGUAUCUACUUCUCGCAAGGCACUACAGCUUAUGUAAGCGCACAAUCCCUUGCAAGCCUUAAACCACGGGGCCUCCAUUACAAUCCUUUGUAUUGCUUCAUCUUCUUCGGAUCUAAGGGUAGGAUCCAUGGAUUUGAGAUCUCUUUUAACAACCAAACGGAGGGCCUUUUUCUGCUUGAAGAUUGUGUCCAAAUGGGCAGUGUCAGAAGUGUUCUGUUCUCCGGCGGUGCUCAUGGUGGCAGUGGCGGAACACGGUGAGGUUUGACGGCGGAGGAUAGCGGAGCGGGUGGGGAAGAAGCGGCUGGUGGACAGUGACACUGCCCAAGGAAUGGCCAUCUAAUCGCCUCUCCUCCGUUACCCACGCG